AAGUCUCCUGAAGGAACGUUAAAGACGAUGACGUUGAUAGGCCGGGUGUGUAAGCGCAGCGAUGCGUUGAGCUAACCGGUACUAAUGAACCGUGAGGCUUAACCUUACAACGCCGAAG
rnacentral:rRNA from 4 species